rnacentral:rRNA from 1 species
GUGGGGAAUAUUGGACAAUGGGGGGAACCCUGAUCCAGCCAUGCCGCGUGUGUGAAGAAGGCCUUUUGGUUGUAAAGCACUUUAAGCGAGGAGGAGGCUACCGAGAUUAAUACUCUUGGAUAGUGGACGUUACUCGCAGAAUAAGCACCGGCUAACUCUGUGCCAGCAGCCGCGGUAAUACAGAGGGUGCAAGCGUUAAUCGGAUUUACUGGACGUAAAGCGCGCGUAGGUGGCCAAUUAAGUCAAAUGUGAAAUCCCCGAGCUUAACUUGGGAAUUGCAUUCGAUACUGGUUGGCUAGAGUAUGGGAGAGGAUGGUAGAAUUCCAGGUGUAGCGGUGAAAUGCGUAGAGAUCUGGAGGAAUACCGAUGGCGAAGGCAGCCAUCUGGCCUAAUACUGACACUGAGGUGCGAAAGCAUGGGGAGCAAACAGGAUUAGAAACCCGGGUAGUCC